GUACUCCCUCCGUUAAAAAAAAAGUCAAACCCUGAAUUUCCGUGUCAACGUUUGACUAUCCGUCUUAUAUGAAUUUUUUUUAUAAUUAGUAUUUUCAUUGUUGUUAGAUGAUAAAACAUAAUUAAUACUUUAUGCGUUACUUAUCUUUUUAAUUUUUUUCAUAUUUUUUUAAAUAAGACGAACGGUCAAAUGUUGAACACGGAAACAGGGUUUAUUUUUUUUUGGGACGGAGGGAGUACU
rnacentral:pre_miRNA from 1 species